rnacentral:rRNA from 1 species
GGUUAAGCGACUAAGCGUACACGGUGGAUGCCCUGGCAGUCAGAGGCGAUGAAGGACGUGCUAAUCUGCGAUAAGCGUCGGUGAGGUGAUAUGAACCGUUAUAACCGGCGAUUUCCGAAUGGGGAAACCCAGUGUG